rnacentral:snoRNA from 1 species
AAAGCAGGAUAAGUUAUGAUAUAGCUGUGCAGUGCUGUAUUAUCGUUCCCCCUGCUUAAAGAAAAAUGUUUCCUUCUAUCCCUACCUGCUUAGUUCCCACAGCAGGUAGGGACGCUGGGUUUCAUACAUCC